AACGAACGCUGGCGGCAGGCCUAACACAUGCAAGUCGAGCGCCCCGCAAGGGGAGCGGCGGACGGGUGAGUAACGCGUGGGAACGUACCCUUUGGUUCGGAAUAGCCCUGGGAAACUGGGAGUAAUACCGGAUACGGUCGAGAGACGAAAGAUUUAUCGUCGAAGGAUCGGCCCGCGUUGGAUUAGGUAGUUGGUGGGGUAAUGGCCUACCAAGCCGACGAUCCAUAGCUGGUUUGAGAGGAUGAUCAGCCACACUGGGACUGAGACACGGCCCAGACUCCUACGGGAGGCAGCAGUGGGGAAUCUUAGACAAUGGGCGCAAGCCUGAUCUAGCCAUGCCGCGUGAGCGAUGAAGGCCUUAGGGUUGUAAAGCUCUUUCGGGGGGGAAGAUAAUGACUGUACCCCCAGAAGAAGCCCCGGCUAACUCCGUGCCAGCAGCCGCCGUAA
rnacentral:rRNA from 1 species